AGAGUUUGAUCCUGGCUCAGGAUGAACGCUAGCGGCAGGCCUAACACAUGCAAGUCGAGGGGUAUCAGGAGAAAGCUUGCUUUUUUGCUGACGACCGGCGCACGGGUGCGUAACGCGUAUACAAUCUACCUUUUGCUGAGGGAUAGCCCAGAGAAAUUUGGAUUAAUACCUCAUAGUAUGAUAACUUGGCAUCGAGAAAUCAUUAAAGGUUACGGCAAGAGAUGAGUAUGCGUUCUAUUAGCUAGAUGGUGUGGUAACGGCACACCAUGGCAACGAUAGAUAGGGGCCCUGAGAGGGGGAUCCCCCACACUGGUACUGAGACACGGACCAGACUCCUACGGGAGGCAGCAGUGAGGAAUAUUGGGCAAUGGAGGCAACUCUGACCCAGCCAUGCCGCGUGCAGGAAGACUGCCCUAUGGGUUGUAAACUGCUUUUAUACAGGAAGAAACACCGCUACGUGUAGCGGCUUGACGGUACUGUAAGAAUAAGGAUCGGCUAACUCCGUGCCAGCAGCCGCGGUAACACGGAGGAUCCAAGCGUUAUCCGGAAUCAUUGGGUUUAAAGGGUCCGUAGGUGGAUAAUUAAGUCAGAGGUGAAAUCCUGCAGCUCAACUGUAGAAUUGCCUUUGAUACUGGUUAUCUUGAGUCAUUAUGAAGUGGUUAGAAUGUGUAGUGUAGCGGUGAAAUGCAUAGAUAUUACACAGAAUACCGAUUGCGAAGGCAGAUCACUAAUAAUGUACUGACACUGAUGGACGAAAGCGUGGGGAGCGAACAGGAUUAGAUACCCUGGUAGUCCACGCCGUAAACGAUGGUCACUAGCUGUUUGGACUUCGGUCUGAGUGGCUAAGCGAAAGUGAUAAGUGACCCACCUGGGGAGUACGUUCGCAAGAAUGAAACUCAAAGGAAUUGACGGGGGCCCGCACAAGCGGUGGAGCAUGUGGUUUAAUUCGAUGAUACGCGAGGAACCUUACCAGGGCUUAAAUGUAGAGUGACAGGUCUAGAGAUAGAUUUUUCUUCGACACUUUACAAGGUGCUGCAUGGUUGUCGUCAGCUCGUGCCGUGAGGUGUCAGGUUAAGUCCUAUAACGAGCGCAACCCCUGUUGUUAGUUGCCAGCGAGUCAAGUCGGGAACUCUAACAAGACUGCCGGUGCAAACCGUGAGGAAGGUGGGGAUGACGUCAAAUCAUCACGGCCCUUACGUCCUGGGCUACACACGUGCUACAAUGGUAGGUACAGAGAGCAGCCACUGCGUGAGCAGGAGCGAAUCUAUAAAACCUAUCACAGUUCGGAUCGGAGUCUGCAGCUCGACUCCGUGAAGCUGGAAUCGCUAGUAAUCGGAUAUCAGCCAUGAUCCGGUGAAUACGUUCCCGGGCCUC
rnacentral:rRNA from 1 species